AGCAUAUCAAUAAGCGGAGGAAAAGAAACUAACAAGGAUUCCCCUAGUAACUGCGAGUGAAGCGGGAUGAGCUCAAAUUUAAAAUCUGGCGUCUUCGGCGUCCGAGUUGUAAUUUAGAGAAGCGUUUUCCGCACCGGACCGUGUACAAGUCUCCUGGAACGGAGCGUCAUAGAGGGUGAGAAUCCCGUCUUUGACACGGACCCCCGGUGCUCUGUGAUACGCUCUCGAAGAGUCGAGUUGUUUGGGAAUGCAGCUCAAAAUGGGUGGUGAACUCCAUCUAAAGCUAAAUAUUGGCGAGAGACCGAUAGCGAACAAGUACCGUGAGGGAAAGAUGAAAAGCACUUUGGAAAGAGAGUGAAACAGUACGUGAAAUUGUUGAAAGGGAAACGCUUGAAGUCAGUCGCGUCCGCCGGGAUUCAGCCUUCGGGUGUACUUUCCGGUGGACGGGCCAGCAUCACUUUCAAUCAUCGGACAAGGUCGAGAGGAAUGUGGCACCUUCGGGUGUGUUAUAGCCUCUUGUCGUAUACGGUGACUGGGAGUGAGGACCGCCUUUGUAGGAUGCUGGCGUAAUGGCUUUAAACGACCCGUCUUGAAACACGGACCAAGGAGUCUAACAUGCCCGCGAGUGUUUGGGUGGAAAACCCAUGCGCGUAAUGAAAGUGAAAGUUGGGAAGGCUGUCGCGGCCUGCACCGACGCCCGGACUCGAGAUUUAUCUAAGGUUCUGCGGUAGAGCGUGUAUGUUGGGACCCGAAAGAUGGUGAACUAUGCCUGAAUAGGGUGAAGCCAGAGGAAACUCUGGUGGAGGCUCGUAGCGAUUCUGACGUGCAAAUCGAUCGUCAAAUUUGGGUAUAGGGGCGAAAGACUAAUCGAAACCAUCUAGUAGCUGGGUUCCUGCCGA
rnacentral:rRNA from 1 species